rnacentral:rRNA from 1 species
GAUCCUGGCUCAGGAUGAACGCUAGCGGCAGGCUUAACACAUGCAAGUCGAGGGGCAGCGCGGGAUAGCAAUAUCCUGGCGGCGACCGGCGGAAGGGUGCGUAACGCGUGAGCGACAUGCCCGUUGCCCGGGGACAACCGGUGGAAACGCCGACUAAUCCCCGAUGGGAUACGGUGCUUCAUGGCAUUGUAUUGAAAGUUACGGCGGCGACGGAUUGGCUCGCGUCCGAUUAGCUUGUUGGCGGGG